CCUUCAUUACUCCCGAUCUUGUCUGAUCUCAGAAGCUAAGCAGGGU
rnacentral:rRNA from 1 species